AGCACCUCGUAUCUGCAGCCAGCUGCUCCAUCAGCUGGUCUGUUCAAAUAAUGGUGCGAUAAGAAUUCAGCGUCUGGCAUCGUUGGUCUCUGGGCUGCUUGUGCCUGGAGUCCUGGUUUGAUCUCUGAAACAUUA